rnacentral:lncRNA from 1 species
GAAGAAGGUAAGGACACCCGGCUGGCUUCAAACUUGACGUUGACUAAAGCUGUUUCGAAGCCUCCGGUUUUUGUUUGGGAUCCUCAUCCUCACUGCGCCUGCGCAGGCGUAAGAGUCAGUGAACCCGGGUUUGUGAGAGCCUGGAAGGGAGCUGCCCAGGGCGGUGCCGGCGCUGUCAGCGGUGGCACGGCGCGGUGCUGGGCCAGGUUUCUCCGAUUUGCAGAUCCGAGCUUUAGGCUUUUAAACCCGCAGGGCUGCCACCGACCUCUUUCACACGUGUUUUAUUCGCUGGCAGUGAGCGCCUGUAGCCUGAGGCACCACAUCUCUGUCAGGCAGACAUUCUCAUCUUUCCAAUUUCCUUUGGACUUGUGAAUAUAAUAUUAAUAAACGCCUGGCCUCGUUUCCUAAGUCUCAUGCUUCUCUGUGAAGCCGUGCAGCUGACCUGAUUCACUCUCCAACUCAGUGGCAGGCACGUCUCUGGCUCCUUGUCAAUCUACUUUGUAGGGCAUUGGGAUGGUAAGUGGGUCU